rnacentral:rRNA from 1 species
UACGAGGGGGGCAAGCGUUGUUCGGAAUUAUUGGGCGUAAAGAGCUCGUAGGCGGUCUGUUGCGUCUGCUGUGAAAACCCGGGGCUUAACCCCUGGCCUGCAGUGGAUACGGACAGACUAGAGGUAGGUAGGGGAGAAUGGAAUUCCCGGUGUAGCGGUGAAAUGCGCAGAUAUCAGGAGGAACACCUGCGGUGUAGACGGCUUUCUGGACCAUUGCUGACGCUGAGACACGAAAGCGUGGGUAGCAAACAGG